rnacentral:rRNA from 1 species
AUUGAACGCUGGCGGCAUGCCUUACACAUGCAAGUCGAACGGUAACAGGUCUUCGGAUGCUGACGAGUGGCGAACGGGUGAGUAAUACAUCGGAACGUGCCCGAUCGUGGGGGAUAACGAAGCGAAAGCUUUGCUAAUACCGCAUAAGAUCUACGGAUGAAAGCAGGGGACCGCAAGGCCUUGCGCGAACGGAGCGGCCGAUGGCAGAUUAGGUAGUUGGUGGGAUAAAAGCUUACCAAGCCGACGAUCUGUAGCUGGUCUGAGAGGACGACCAGCCACACUGGGACUGAGACACGGCCCAGAAUCCUACGGGAGGCAGCAGUGGGGAAUUUUGGACAAUGGGCGAAAGCCUGAUCCAGCCAUGCCGCGUGCAGGAUGAAGGCCUUCGGGUUGUAAACUGCUUUUGUACGGAACGAAAAGACUCUGGUUAAUACCUGGGGUCCAUGACGGUACCGUAAGAAUAAGCACCGGCUAACUACGUG